GAACGCCGAAUGCUGGGAAACUAGCACGUUCGGUGUGGAGCAGGGGAAAAGCCAGAGAUAAUCUCAAACGCUUACCUAUUGCUAACUUUCCUUAAAUAAAUACUCAAGUUUAGCAGAUUUGUUCAUUACAAUCCGUACACCUUUUUGGCCUUUUACCCUAAU
rnacentral:ncRNA from 1 species